CCUACGGGUGGCAGCAGUGAGGAAUAUUGGUCAAUGGACGAGAGUCUGAACCAGCCAAGUAGCGUGAAGGAUGACUGCCCUAUGGGUUGUAAACUUCUUUUAUAUGGGAAUAAAACGUUCCACGUGUGGGAUUUUGUAUGUACCAUAUGAAUAAGGAUCGGCUAACUCCGUGCCAGCAGCCGCGGUAAUACGGAGGCGCCGAGCGUUAUCCGGAUUUAUUGGGUUUAAAGGGAGCGUAGGUGGAUUGUUAAGGCAGGUGUGAAAGUUUGCGGCUGAACCGUAAAAUUGCAGUUGAAACUGGCAGUCUUGAGUGCAGGAGAGGUGGGCGGAAUUCGUGGUGUAGCGGUGAAAUGCUUAGAUAUCACGAAGAACUCCGAUUGCGAAGGCAGUUCACUGGACUGCAACUGACACUGAGGCUCGAAAGUGUGGGUAUCAAACAGGAUUAGAUACCCUGGUAGUC
rnacentral:rRNA from 1 species